AGCAUUCCAGUGCUUGGAUACCUGAAAAGGCAAAUGUGUUUCAGUCAAAAGAACAUACUAAAGUUGAUCUCAUCACUCAGCCUCUUGCUAAUGGAAGGCCCUGAAUUGUUCUUGUGGUUGUUACACAGUAGUCGCUAUUCAUGGGGAACAAAGAGUGGUGUGCAGUGUUACAUCAUCUGUCUUGCUGAUGCCACUGACUGAGGAUGGAGGUUCCAUAAUCACUCUGGGCAACCUGCCUAGAAGAAAAACAUCUUCAAGGAAAAGAGUCGUGAAGGACCAAAUUAGU